GCAAAGGUAGCAUAAUAAAUUGGCCUUUAAUUGGGGUCUAGUAUGAAAGGAUAAACGGAUAAUGACUGUCUCUUUUGAUUAAAAUUAAAUUACUUAAGUAGUGAAAAUUCUACUAUACUAAUAAAAUAGACGAGAAGACCCUUAGAGUUUUACGAAAAAUAAAAUAAAUUUUAAAAUCGAUUUGUUGGGGCAACAAAAUUAGCAUUAAUCUUUAAUCAAUUUAAUAAUAUUUAUUUAUUAGACGACAAGUUGUAGGAAUAAAAAACUACCUUAGGGAUAACAGCAUAAUUUUUAAAAGAUUGUGACCUCGAUGUUGGAU
rnacentral:rRNA from 1 species